GAUGGUAGGCCCAUCACUGGCGAGGUACAGGCCUAGCCAGUAAACCACCCCGAGGUGCUAUGAGAGUGAUUGAUUGGUGCUGAACGUCGUGGGAAAAGGUCCGAUUGAACGGAUCAGGU
rnacentral:ncRNA from 1 species